UAAGGAAUAUUGGACAAUGGAGGCAACUCUGAUCCAGCCAUGCCGCGUGAAGGAAUAAGGCUCUAUGGGUUGUAAACUUCUUUUAGACGGGACAAAACCCCUUUACGUGUAAAGGGUUGAUGGUACUGUCAGAAUAAGCAUCGGCUAACUUCGUGCCAGCAGCCGCGGUAAUACGAAGGAUGCAAGCGUUAUCCGGAAUUAUUGGGUUUAAAGGGUGCGUAGGCGGACUAAUAAGUCAGUGGUGAAAGCCUGCAGCUUAACUGCAGAAUUGCCAUUGAUACUGUUAGUCUUGAGUACAGUUGAGGUAGGCGGAAUGUGUCAUGUAGCGGUGAAAUGCUUAGAUACGACACAGAACACCUAUUGCGAAGGCAGCUUGCUAAGCUGUAACUGACGCUGAGGCACGAAAGCGUGGGGAGCAAACA
rnacentral:rRNA from 1 species